rnacentral:lncRNA from 1 species
GCCCCAGCCGGAGAGGAAGUUCUGCCGGGCGCUCCGCCGGUGCUUCCCUGUAUAUUGUUGAACAGGAAACAGGGCAGCUCGGAGGCCAGGCGGUGCAGGAGGGAGCGCCGGACGCCGAGCCGCGCGCGCCUGCCGGGACGAGUGGAAGCGAGGCCAGCGGGCAGACGCCCUGAGCUCCCGCGCGCGCUCCACGGCUGCUCUCCACGUCCUGCCCCGCGAUGGGGGCCUAACCUGUGCCCUCGCCAGCACCGUGAGCCCCGCCCAUGGGCUCCCCGAGGCCCGCCCAGCCCAAGUGAGUGCGUGGCGGGAGUCGAGAAAGGGGUCGCGGGGUGGGGCUCUGUCUCGGCUAGCUCCAGAGCCCAGCGUGCUCAGUGCCUCAGUUUACACCCACCCCUUGAAAAGCAGCGUUUGAGAAAGUGAAGGAGGGCCCUGUCUCCCGCACUCCUCGGCUCUUUCCCGGAGUCCUUGGCCUCAGCAAGCGGCCAGCUCCCGGCCGCUGGGGGCAGCCACCUUGUGGGACAGGAGCCAGUACUGUCCAGCGGGAAUCGGAGCCACUUCCGGAGGAGGCCUCGUGUCGCCUAGCUGAAGGCGCGAGCAGGCGCGGCCAGGCUGAGCCGGACAGGCCGCAGCAGGGCACGCGGCGGCUGCAAUGGCGGCUGGCGUCGAGGGCCAAGUGGACGUGCUGGUGGAGCACCCCUUCGAGUA